rnacentral:rRNA from 1 species
GUACACGCUGUGACUAGCAUAUCAAUAAGCGGAGGAAAAGAAACUAACAAGGAUUCCCCUAGUAACGGCGAGUGAAGCGGGAAGAGCUCAAAUUUGAAAUCUUAAAGGGUUUCCCUUUACGAAUUGUAGUUUAAAGAAGUGUUUUCUGUUGAGGUUUUGGUAAAAGUUCUUUGGAAUAGGACAUCAUAGAGGGUGAGAAUCCCGUAUUUGACCUUUACUUUCAACUUUGUGAUACACUUUCAAAGAGUCGGAUUGUUUGGGAAUGCAGUCCAAAAUGGGUGGUAAAUUUCAUCUAAAGCUAAAUAUUGGCGAGAGACCGAUAGCGAACAAGUACCGUGAGGGAAAGAUGAAAAGAACUUUGAAAAGAGAGUUAAACAGUACGUGAAAUUGUCAAAAGGGAAGCGUUUGACACCAGUGUUGUUUUUCUGAAAAUCAAUUAAGGAACUGUUUAUGCUAAGCUGUUUAGACUUUAUCAGCUAUCUGUUUAGUUUUGAGCUUUUCUUUAACGCACUUUUCAGUUAACAAGUCAACAUCAAUUUCUUUUGCCGUAAAAAAGCUUGAGGAAGGUGGCUUGAGAUUCGUCUUAAGUGUUUAUAGCCUCUUGCCUAUGCAGUCGGAGAGAUUGAGGUCUGCAGCGUAGAUCCUUCGGGGCUAAAUGCAUUUGUGCUAAGUUAUAGCAUUUUAUAGACAACUUGUUGACUAUGAUUUGUCUUGUAGCUUACUCGCUUAUGUUAUUUUACCUACGCUUAGGAUGUUGAUAUGCAUGACUGAUAU